rnacentral:rRNA from 1 species
UACGGAGGGUGCAAGCGUUGUCCGGAUUUAUUGGGUUUAAAGGGUGCGUAGGCGGCCCGUUAAGUCAGUGGUGAAAGCCUCCAGCUCAACUGGAGAACUGCCAUUGAUACUGACAGGCUUGAGUACAGACGAGGUUGGCGGAAUUGAUUGUGUAGCGGUGAAAUGCAUAGAUAUGACAUAGAACACCAAUUGCGAAGGCAGCUCGUUACACGAAUAUUGACUCUGAGGCUCGAAAGCGUGGGGAUCAAACAGG